UACGUAGGGUGCAGGCGUUAAUCGGAAUUACUGGGCGUAAAGCGUGCGCAGGCGGUUUCUUAAGUCAGAUGUGAAAGCCCCGGGCUUAACCUGGGAACUGCGUUUGAAACUGGGAGACUUGAGUGUAGCAGAGGGGGGUGGAAUUCCACGUGUAGCAGUGAAAUGCGUAGAUAUGUGGAGGAAUACCGAUGGCGAAGGCAGCCCCCUGGGCCAAUACUGACGCUCAUGCACGAAAGCGUGGGGAGCAAACAGA
rnacentral:rRNA from 1 species